UUGAUGAUACUUAAGCAGGUAGUUAGUCCUAUUUUUAGGGAGGUUCUGCCAAAAUUUCAACAGUAUCUGGAUUUAGUAUAUUUAACAAAAGCAUUUUUAGAUUUAAUCAAGAUAAUUCCUUAUUCUUAUUUGAAAGGAAUUCUUUAUUUUAUUCUUUUGUCCCUUUCAAUUUUAUUUCUUAUAGAUUGUCCAAACUCGUCCUUUACUUUAUGAAUCAGAAACAAAACUAGAGUUCUUUUUCUCUCCUCUAUUACUAUAGCAGUAAUAAGUAGUGGAUUAUCAUUUACUUCAUAUAUACAUACAUUACUAUAUAAUGUUACAAUUUCCUACUUAUUUAAUUAUUAUUAUUAUUUUUUAGCAUAAACAUCCAUUAUUUUAUACUUGGUUUAUAUAUGUAUAUAUUUAAAUAUUUACAUAACAAUGUUUGUUUAUUUAAUGUGCUUGCAUUUAAAUGUAAUGUUUGAUUAGAUGUGUUUUGAUGAUGAUAUGUCUUGUUUGCGUGGAAUUGAGAUGAAGUGGGUCACCAUGGGUUUGUAAGGGUGGUCUUCGAUACCGUUGACCAUGUAUGGAGAGAUCGGCGUCCCCGUGUGCAUCUAAUGAUAUAUGAUAUAGAAAACCACAGGGUGGGCGUCUGUUGGUAUGGAAAAGAGAGUAUAAAAAAAUGAGAGGGCUGGUCAAGAGAUUAGACCGGUCGGCCAUGUAUGGGGAAUUGGUUCCCUGGUGCACACGUCAUGAGAGGAUUGACCAUGUGUAAGGACGACUCAUUGGGGGUUUCGGUGAUGCCACAAACCAAUUUCCACUUGUUUGAUUAUAUGAAGGUGUACUUGUAUGUGGGUGCUGAUGUUAUGCCAUACGUUUGAAUGGAUGAGUAUUCAUUUUAGUAUUUUAUGAAGCAUUU
rnacentral:lncRNA from 1 species